rnacentral:lncRNA from 1 species
GAGAAUUAAAGAAGAUAAUACAUAUUAAGCAGUUAGCACAGUCCCUGGCACAUAGGAAUUAUCCAAUAUCUACCAUAUCUACCAGUUCUUUCUUUCAUCAUUGUUAUUAUUUUCAUCAUUAGGAAGUCAUCUCUUUCUUCCUUUUGGUGGCAUUCCCUGGCACCUCUCUCCCAGUUUUAAGGAUCUCAAGGGCAGCAUAUUCCACAAGACUUUUAGUACCUCUGGUAGCAUUUGUGGAUUUGUGUGUCUGUGGAUGUAGAUAUUUGGAAAAAAAAAUGUCAAAACUCUUU